AAAUAAAUUUUUAUGAUUUAUAAAUUUUAUUAUAAGUUUAAUUUAUAUAUAAAUUUUAGUGUAUAAUUUAUUGUAUUUAAAUAAUUUAAUUAAAUUGAUUUUAGUAAAUAAUAUUAAAAAUUUAAGAAAUUAAUAUUUAGUAAUAUUAAAAUUAAAUAACAAAUUUUGUGCCAGCAGUUGCGGUUAAACAAAAAUUUAUAUAAAAUUUUUCAGUAAUAAUAAAUAAUUUAAUUUUUUUUUUAAAGAUAAAAUUAUUAAGUGAAAUUUUAAUUUUAUAAAAAAAAUAUUAAAUAUUAUGAUUUUAAAAAAUUUUAUUAUUAAACUAGGAUUAGAUACCCUAUUAUAAAAAAAAUUAAUAAAAAAUACUAAAAUAGUAAAUGAUAUUUUAUUGAAACUUAAAUAAUUUGGCGGUAUUUUAGUUCAUUUAGAGGAAUCUGUCUAAUAAUUGAUAGUCCACGAAUAAAUUUACUUAAUUUAAAAUUUUAUAUAUCGUUGUUAAAAAAAUAUUUUUAAAAAAAAAUAAUAUUUAAAAAUUAUAAUGAAAAUUAGUUCAGAUCAAGAUGUAAAUGAUAAUUAAGAAUAUGAUGGAUUACAAUAUUAAUAAAUAAAUGGAUAUUAAUUUGAAAAUUUAAUUAAAAGUGGAUUUAAAUGUAAUUUUAUUUAAUUUAAUAAAAUGAUUGAAUAUUAAAAUAUGUACAUAUUGCCCGUCACUUUCAUUUAAAAAUUGGAAUAAGUCGUAACAAAGUAGAGGUACUGGAAAGUGUUUCUAGAAAGA
rnacentral:ncRNA from 1 species